rnacentral:rRNA from 1 species
UGCAAGUCGAGCGAAGCUUUUCAGUAGUUUACUACAGAAAAUGACUGAGCGGCGAACGGGUGAGUAACGCGUGAGCAAUCUACCUUAGUUACAGGGAUAGCCCGAGGAAACUCGGAUUAAUACCUGAUAUUCUUUAUAUUUCGCAUGAAAUUAAAAGGAAAGGUCAGCCGAACUAAGAUGAGCUCGCGUUCUAUCAGCUAGUUGGUGAGGUAAAAGCUCACCAAGGCUACGACCGAUAGCUGGUCUGAGAGGACGAUCAGCCACACUGGGACUGAGACACGGCCCAGACUCCUACGGGAGGCUGCAGCAGGGAAUAUUGUGCAAUGAACGAAAGUUUGACACAGCGACACCGCGUGUGGGAUGACGGAUCUAGGUUUGUAAACCACUUUCAGGAGGGAAGAAAAUGACGGUACCUCCACAAGAAGCCCCGGCCAACUACGUGCAGCAGCCGCGGUAAUACGUAGGGGGCGAGCGUUGUCCGGAUUUAUUGGGCGUAAAGAGCUCGUAGGCGGUUCAACAAGUCGUUCCUGAAAGUUCAGGGCUCAACCCUGAAAUGUCGAUCGAUACUGUUGUGACUAGGAUACGGUAGAGGUGAGUGGAAUUCCGAGUGUAGCGGUGAAAUGCGUAGAUAUUCGGAGGAACACCAAUUGCGAAGGCAGCUCACUGGGCCGCUAUCGACGCUGAGGAGCGAAAGCUAGGGGAGCAAACAGGAUUAGAUACCCUGGUAGUCCUAGCUGUAAACGAUGGAUACUAGACGUAGGAACUGGAUUGACGGUUUCUGUGUCGCAGCUAACGCGUUAAGUAUCCCGCCUGGGGAGUACGGUCGCAAGACUAAAACUCAAAGGAAUUGACGGGACCCCGCACAAGCGGCGGAGCAUGCGGCUUAAUUCGAUGAUACCCGUAGAACCUUACCUGGACUUGACAUAUAGGGUCUAGCUAUAGAGAUAUAGUGUGC